AUAUGUCUAUAUGGGGGCGGGGGAGUGCUGGCACAAAUAGAGUGUAAGGCUGUGGGAAACACUGCACAUUGUACCAAUAGACAGUAACGUUAAUUUGCUAUUCACUUUCACGCUGUUUCUAAAGAUAUUUACUUUGUACUCCUUUGUUGCAGUCCUAAAAAGACUGCCGAAAACACGAGGGCAGUUGCAUUUUAGAUCAAUUCUGAGUGAGCGCGCCAGUAAAUGGUGGAAUAUUUCCAUAAAUAAAUUGAUCCUGCCAGAAGAAUUGCAUGAAACUUAUGGCUGUAUCAUCUCGGUGAUGUUUAUACAUGCACAGUAAGGCAAAUGUAAUGCCUUCAGACUUCCAGUGUGGAUGACAACUCUAAAAAUUUAUUAAAUUGCAACACACGGUCUUCGCCGCUAGUGGAGUCAGCCUCACACUGCGCUGCGGCCGGAAAAAGCCGCAUUGAAAGGCUGAGUCGCGGCAGGAAGUGAGUGAGGCUUUGCUGCAGUGAGAUCUGGGGUGCCGCCCAGGCUCGUUGAAUGCCUGCUGUUGCCGCGAUCCAGCGCUCGAGGAGAGCCAGGUAUUUGAGCGGGACAACGGUGGUGUCGAGCGAGGUGAGCUCGGGGCUUUGCACGGUCUAUUGGCCACAGCGUGUGGCUGGUCGAGAAGAGCAGCUGUCGCAAUAACGCCUGGUGCUCAGUGGCCUUGUUUGGCGGGGUAUGAGUUAUCAUGGGGCCGGCAAAUGCAGCAGAUCUGAAAAAAUCCCCGGUAUAGAUCUCUUCGUAGGACGGAAAAUUGGGUCUGUGAUCAGAUGGCAACAGAGCGAACCGAAUGCUGAAAGUCGAGAGAUAACGAAGAGGGCCCAGCAUGUUCCUGAGGGAGCUGGACUGGCUGUGAAGUGCUAGAGGAGUGGCAGUCCUUGGGAAGUUGGUUCCUCGGAGGGGUUGCCACCACUGUGAUCCUCAAACCGCCCAAGCUACUGCCUGAAGUAGUCCUCCUCUGACUUUUGCCAGGAAGAGAACUAGAUCACGGCAGAGGCACCGGAACUCCACCCCUUUUGAGGUAAUGCAGCCUGGCCCACAACUCCGAGAUGGUCAUCUUCCCACAAUGAGAACAUGACUCAUCCACGAACGCCACCUCAGCAUGCUUAAUGCCCAGGCACAUGAGGCAGCGAUCGUGACCACCAUCCGGCGCCAGGUAAUGACCAC
ensembl:lncRNA